rnacentral:rRNA from 1 species
AUUGAACGCUGGCGGAAUGCUUUACACAUGCAAGUCGAACGGUAGAGGGGGCAACCCCUCGAGAGUGGCGAACGGGUGAGUAAUAUAUCGGAACGUGCCCAGUCGUGGGGGAUAACGUAGCGAAAGUUACGCUAAUACCGCAUACGAUCUACGGAUGAAAGCGGGGGAUCGCAAGACCUCGCGCGAUUGGAGCGGCCGAUAUCAGAUUAGGUAGUUGGUGGGGUAAAGGCUCACCAAGCCAACGAUCUGUAGCUGGUCUGAGAGGACGACCAGCCACACUGGAACUGAGACACGGUCCAGACUCCUACGGGAGGCAGCAGUGGGGAAUUUUGGACAAUGGACGCAAGUCUGAUCCAGCCAUUCCGCGUGCAGGAUGAAGGCCCUCGGGUUGUAAACUGCUUUUGUUACGGAACGAAAAAGGUCUCUCCUAAUACGAGGGCUCAUGACGGUACCGUAAGAAUAAGACACCGGCUAACUACGUG